GCAUGGAUACAGGCCAAAAAACUAGAGCCCGUUGGCUUAUUUGGUCGCCUAAAGUGACCUAGACGAUGACGGCGAGUUCGAUUGUUAUUGCAUGGAGAUGGCCUGUAGAAAUAAAUCGCAUCAAAACAACGAAGUACUGCGGCGCACGCUAAGAGGUCUGAAGAAGUGGACAACGAGAUAAUUAUCCGAAAUCUACGAAAGGCACAGGCGCAAACGACACGUAGAAAAUUUUAAGCUAUAAAAACUACCUUAAUAACGAAAUGAAAUUGCGGGCAAAGGGUCACAGAUAUGUUAACGUUCGAACGAUACACGAGGCAGAUAUAUAAACUAACCGACGACAUGCAGAAGAAUAGUAUCAGUACGUCAGCAGGACUUGAACCAAAGGUGUUCCGUGUCCUGUUUUUUGAGGUUAAACGUCCACCCCAUAUCAGCAAGCACGCAUAACUUAUCGCUGAAGAUAAUCGUUGAGCCUCCAUCAAUAGAAUCAUCUGUGAUAUGGUCGAACUGCAUCCCCCAAGGCUGAGCCCCUUCUGAGAUCCAGUAAUCCUAUCGUGACCACGUGCGAAGUCAUCCGUUCCACUGUCGUUCACGACUCUCACCACGGGGAGACAGCAAAUGCUCGAAAGCUCGUGGCCUAACGAAGAGACGGAUGACGAUAAUAGAUGCGCGCAACUCAACGAAAUGGAACAUUGCAGCAAGAAAAGCGUUCGGCUUAUAGCAUUCGGUAACUUGGCGGAACUGCUUAGUGAAUUUGGGGCCUGAAACAAAGCAUCGCCACGAUGG